AUACGGAGGGUGCAAGCGUUGUCCGGAUUUAUUGGGUUUAAAGGGUGCGUAGGCGGCUGAUUAAGUCAGUGGUGAAAGGCAGCAGCUCAACUGUUAGCACGGCCAUUGAUACUGGUUAGCUUGAGUACAGUCGAGGUAGGCGGAAUUGAAGGUGUAGCGGUGAAAUGCAUAGAUAUCUUCAAGAACACCUAUUGCGAAGGCAGCUUACUAGGCUGUAACUGACGCUGAUGCACGAAAGCGUGGGGAUC
rnacentral:rRNA from 1 species